GGGGACGUUACGGAUUCGACAGGGAUAGGUCGAGCUUAAGUUGCGAGCCGAGCGGUACCUCGUUAAAGGCCAUGCCUAAAUUAUAACUGGCAAAGAAAACAAUUACUCUCUAGCAGCUGCAUAAGCUGAUUCUAGAGGAUCCUUCCUACCAUCGCCCGUGUGGUAGAUAGAAGGGUCUCAAACUGAAGCGGGCUAUGCGUUCAGUCGCCGUCUUAGGGUGAACGAAGAACUUAAUAAGACUAGCUACACGGAAGCCUGUCGAUAGGCUGAAGUGCUAGCGAAUGGCUAAUAUAUCGACUACGCUCGUAGAAGCUUAAGUGCCGAUAUCUUUGGACGUGGGUUCGACUCCCACCGUCUCCACUU
rnacentral:tmRNA from 1 species